UACGGGGGGGGCAAGCGUUGUUCGGAAUUACUGGGCGUAAAGGGCUCGUAGGCGGCCAACUAAGUCGGAUGUGAAAUCCCCAGGCUUAACCUGGGAACUGCAUCCGAUACUGGAUGGCUUGAAUCCGGGAGAGGGAUGCAGAAUUCCAGGUGUAGCGGUGAAAUGCGCAGAUAUCAGGAGGAACACCGGUGGCGAAGGCGGCAUCCUGGACCGACACUGACGCUGAGGAGCGAAAGCCAGGGGAGCAAACGGG
rnacentral:rRNA from 1 species